rnacentral:rRNA from 1 species
AGAGUUUGAUCCUGGCUCAGGAUGAACGCUAGCGAUAGGCUUAACACAUGCAAGUCGAGGGGCAGCAUGAUCUUAGCUUGCUAAGGUCGAUGGCGACCGGCGCACGGGUGCGUAACGCGUAUGCAACUUGCCUUACAGAGGGGGAUAACCCGUUGAAAGACGGACUAAAACCGCAUACACUUGUAUUAUUGCAUGAUAUUACAAGGAAAUAUUUAUAGCUGUAAGAUAGGCAUGCGUCCCAUUAGCUGGUUGGUGAGGUAACGGCUCACCAAGGCGACGAUGGGUAGGGGAACUGAGAGGUUUAUCCCCCACACUGGUACUGAGACACGGACCAGACUCCUACGGGAGGCAGCAGUGAGGAAUAUUGGUCAAUGGGCGAGAGCCUGAACCAGCCAAGUCGCGUGAAGGAAGACAGUCCUAAGGAUUGUAAACUUCUUUUAUACGGGAAUAACGGGCGAUACGAGUAUUGCAUUGAAUGUACCGUAAGAAUAAGCAUCGGCUAACUCCGUGCCAGCAGCCGCGGUAAUACGGAGGAUGCGAGCGUUAUCCGGAUUUAUUGGGUUUAAAGGGUGCGUAGGUUGUUCGGUAAGUCAGCGGUGAAACCUGAGCGCUCAACGUUCAGCCUGCCGUUGAAACUGCCGGGCUUGAGUUCAGUGGCGGCAGGCGGAAUUCGUGGUGUAGCGGUGAAAUGCAUAGAUAUCACGAGGAACUCCGAUUGCGAAGGCAGCUUGCCAUACUGCGACUGACACUGAAGCACGAAGGCGUGGGUAUCAAACAGGAUUAGAUACCCUGGUAGUCCACGCAGUAAACGAUGAUUACUAGGAGUUUGCGAUAUACCGUCAAGCUUCCACAGCGAAAGCGUUAAGUAAUCCACCUGGGGAGUACGCCGGCAACGGUGAAACUCAAAGGAAUUGACGGGGGCCCGCACAAGCGGAGGAACAUGUGGUUUAAUUCGAUGAUACGCGAGGAACCUUACCCGGGAUUGAAAUGUAGAUGACGGAUGGUGAAAACCGUCUUCCCUUCGGGGCUUCUAUGUAGGUGCUGCAUGGUUGUCGUCAGCUCGUGCCGUGAGGUGUCGGCUUAAGUGCCAUAACGAGCGCAACC